rnacentral:rRNA from 1 species
UUGAUCCUGGCUCAGAAUCAACGCUGGCGGCGUGCCUAACACAUGCAAGUCGAACGAGAAAGUGGAGCAAUCCAUGAGUAAAGUGGCGACCGGGUGAGUUACACGUGACCAAUCUACCCUUGAGUGGGGGAUAACCUCGGGAAACCGGGUCUAAUACCGCAUAAAAUCUUCGGGACGGAAGUGCUGAAGAUCAAAGGAGUAAUUCGCUUAAGGAGGAGGUCGCGGCUGAUUAGCUAGUUGGCGGGGUAAUGGCCCACCAAGGCAAAGAUCGGUAGCCGGCCUGAGAGGGCGCACGGCCAUACUGGAACUGAAACACGGUCCAGACUCCUACGGGAGGCAGCAGUGGGGAUUUUUGCGCAAUGGGGGAAACCCUGACGCAGCAACGCCGCGUGGAGGAUGUAGUCCCUUGGGACGUAAACUCCUUUCGACCCGGACGAUAAUGACGGUACUGGUGGAAGAAGCCCCGGCUAACUUCGUGCCAGCAGCCGCGGUAAUAAGGU